UGGGGAAUUUUGGACAAUGGGGGAAACCCUGAUCCAGCCAUCCCGCGUGUGCGAUGAAGGCCUUCGGGUUGUAAAGCACUUUUGGCAGGAAAGAAACGUCAUGGGUUAAUACCCCGUGAAACUGACGGUACCUGCAGAAUAAGCACCGACUAACUACGUGCCAGCAGCCGCGGUAAUACGUAGGGUGCAAGCGUUAAUCGGAAUUACUGGGCGUAAAGCGUGCGCAGGCGGUUCGGAAAGAAAGAUGUGAAAUCCCAGAGCUCAACUUUGGAACUGCAUUUUUAACUACCGGGCUAGAGUGUGUCAGAGGGAGGUGGAAUUCCGCGUGUAGCAGUGAAAUGCGUAGAUAUGCGGAGGAACACCGAUGGCGAAGGCAGCCUCCUGGGAUAACACUGACGCUCAUGCACGAAAGCGUGGGGAGCAAACAGG
rnacentral:rRNA from 1 species